GCAACAAUUGGCCCAGCCUAGGAGGAAUUAAACCCAAGGCCCAUCCCCAAUUCAACUGCCAAUUUUAAAUUGCAAUUGCAGUUAGGGCAUAACAGUCCGUUUAGGUUUCGCUGAUGCUUCUUCUUUGCUGUGCCACAGUUGUCGUAAGCAUCAAAUUUCUUCAUCUGGAGGUCGAAGGCAUGAAUGAAGCAGGGAUAUCCAUUAUCCCAUUCAUGUAUUAACUUGGCUCUCUCAGGUACAUAAAUUCAGAAGACUAUGAAGGAGGGUUUGAAAAAUCAGACAUUGAGCAAAUCUUGUCAAAUAUAGAGUUCAAUUUCAACAACUGGGCUUCAAACUUUGCUUCUAUGGUUGUUGAUGCAGUUGAUCCUCUCUGUAGAUAAAUUCGAAAAGUACUUGAAAAGAAUGAGGCGUGAAGCUGCACUCUCUGUAGCGAAACUUGUUACCCCAUGCACCAACAGUGGCCUUGAGAUAGACAUUGAGAAAGUGGCAGAUGUUUCAGAACAAUCCAAUAAUUUCUCGGUUGAGAGAGGCAAUUGGACUCUCUCUCUCUCUCUCCUACCGCUGGUACAAGAUGGCAGCUAAUUCAACAAUUGAGAGUUGAGAUCUUUGUGAUAAUGCCUUCCUAGGUUGCUUUUUUUCAUCUGAAAUCAAUAUCCAAUUCACAAAUUAAAUCUUAUAUAAAUAAUUUAAUAUGAAUGGUAGCUAGACUUUUAAUUGCAA